UACAGAGGUCCCAAGCGUUGUUCGGAUUCACUGGGCGUAAAGGGUGCGUAGGCGGUCGGAUAAGUCUGACGUGAAAUCUCCGGGCCUAACCCGGAAACUGCGUUGGAAACUAUCUGGCUAGAGGAAUGGAGGGGAGACUGGAAUACUUGGUGUAGCAGUGAAAUGCGUAGAUAUCAAGUGGAGCACCAGUGGCGAAGGCGGCUACCUGGACCAGCACUGACACUGAGGCACGAAAGCGUGGGGAGCAAACAGG
rnacentral:rRNA from 1 species